CUCUCCUCCCCCCACGUUACGGAUCAGAAAACAGACCCCGGGAGGAGAGGGGACGGGGGGCUGAAACCCGGCCCCCGAGGUCACCCUCCCGGGGAGCGGUCGGGUAGGCCUCGGAGGCUCUCCGGUCCGGGCCCGCGCCAUCAACCCCCAUGCGCAGCAGCUGGGCCUGAGGCCUCGACUACGGGGUUGGCCCCGGCCUGGAGGGACUGAGGGUGGCGAGGCUCGAGGCCCGGUGUAGGGGACGAUUCUGGAGGCUCCCCCGGCUCCCCGCUCACGGCCCUAGACGCCGCUACCCUGAGCAGGCGGUACGGGAACAGCCGGGGCCGAGGCCGCGCCGGGGCUAGGCCGCCAACAGACCUAACGGAGCCGCCGCCCGCGUCGGCCGCGGAGAGGAACCCUUACCCGUGGCAAAGGACCGUGGGAUACUCACCCCUUAGGGCCCGGAGCCCCGUUGCCGCUCGGCACGCCGGGCGCGCCGCUCUCUUCCUCCAUUUUGAUCUCCGUCGCCGCCACCUCCGCCGCCGCUUCGACCCCUGCCGCCAUUUUCUCCGCGUCUGGGCUUUGUGUGAGCGAACGGGCUGCACCGCGCUGCGCCUGCGCGCCCACGUGACCCGACGCAACCAGUAACACCUGCGCCCGCCGCUCCCGGCUGCCUCCUUGGCCCCACUCGCCCCGGGCCACGCCCCCGCCGCGCGCAGGCGCAGACCGGCAGCUGUUGAUCGCUUCUCUCUCGAGAUACACUCGCGUUAGGCACCGACUGGCUGUUCCCGGCGCGCGUCCUCUGAGUCCGAUAGAGGAGGCAUCUCCCCACCCCACCCCACACAAACACCUAGACCUAGUCACUCUCAGCUUUCUGUAACCAGAGCUGGAGCAGAGGGGAAGCAAUGAUCCUGUCUAGAGAUUCCUGGAAGUUUUAGAUGAAGCUUGUUCAACCCGCGGUCCGGCACACGAUUCGUAAACUUUCUUAAAACAUUGUGUCUUUUUGU
rnacentral:lncRNA from 1 species